rnacentral:lncRNA from 1 species
AUGUUUAAGAGCUCACAGUGCCCCACGAAGAAGGCCUCUCAAGCCCAGGAAGCUGAAGCCAGCCAGGGAAGGAAGGGUGAGAGGGCAGCCCGUGCAGCGUCACACCUCGGGGGGCUUGGGGCAAAACCGAGCAGUUUCUCUGUGCCAGGUGCAGCUCCUUGGACCAGGCAGUGGGAAGAAUUCCAGGGGAAGUGGAACAAACGGGAGGAAAGGAGAGCUCCCUCGUUGGGUGCACCAGGCUGGCUUGUGCCAGCGGCAGGCAGCGAGCGGGAAGGUGCAGGAAGGAGACUUUGGGCGAGGGAGAACACGGUAGGAAGAGGAGCGGAGAGCGGUGGAGAGGCACCAAAAAAAAAGCCUUUAUUUAGUUGCUUCAGAAGGCAUCACUCACUUCAGAUCCCACUGAAAAUAGUCAACAAGCUGUAA